rnacentral:rRNA from 1 species
UAAUGUCUGGGAAACUGCCCGAUGGAGGGGGAUAACUACUGGAAACGGUAGCUAAUACCGCAUAACGUCUUCGGACCAAAGUGGGGGACCUUCGGGCCUCACACCAUCGGAUGUGCCCAGAUGGGAUUAGCUAGUAGGUGGGGUAACGGCUCACCUAGGCGACGAUCCCUAGCUGGUCUGAGAGGAUGACCAGCCACACUGGAACUGAGACACGGUCCAGACUCCUACGGGAGGCAGCAGUGGGGAAUAUUGCACAAUGGGCGCAAGCCUGAUGCAGCCAUGCCGCGUGUAUGAAGAAGGCCUUCGGGUUGUAAAGUACUUUCAGUGGGGAGGAAGGCGAUGAAGUUAAUAGCUUCGUCGAUUGACGUUACCCGCAGAAGAAGCACCGGCUAACUCCGUGCCAGCAGCCGCGGUAAUACGGAGGGUGCAAGCGUUAAUCGGAAUUACUGGGCGUAAAGCGCACGCAGGCGGUCUGUCAAGUCGGAUGUGAAAUCCCCGGGCUCAACCUGGGAACUGCAUUCGAAACUGGCAGGCUAGAGUCUUGUAGAGGGGGGUAGAAUUCCAGGUGUAGCGGUGAAAUGCGUAGAGAUCUGGAGGAAUACCGGUGGCGAAGCGGCCCCUGGACAAGACUGACGCUCAGUGCGAAGCGUGGGGAGCAACAGGAUUAAUACCCUGGUAGUCCCGCCGUAACGAUGUCGACUUGGAGGUUGUGCCCUGAGGCGUGUUUCCGGAGCUAACGCGUUAAGUCGACCGCCUGGGGAGUACGGCCGCAAGGUUAAACUCAAAUGAAUUGACGGGGGCCCGCACAAGCGGUGGAGCAUGUGGUUUAAUUCGAUGCAACGCGAAGAACCUUACCUGGCCUUGACAUCCACGGAAUUUGGCAGAGAUGCCUUAGUGCCUUCGGGAACCGUGAGACAGGUGCUGCAUGGCUGUCGUCAGCUCGUGUUGUGAAAUGUUGGGUUAAGUCCCGCAACGAGCGCAACCCUUAUCCUUUGUUGCCAGCACGUAAUGGUGGGAACUCAAAGGAGACGGCCGGUGAUAAACCGGAGGAAGGUGGGGAGGACGUCAAGUCAUCAUGGCCCUUACGGCCAGGGCUACACACGUGCUACAAUGGCGCAUACAAAGAGAAGCGACCUCGCGAGAGCAAGCGGACCUCAUAAAGUGCGUCGUAGUCCGGAUCGGAGUCUGCAACUCGACUCCGUGAAGUCGGAAUCGCUAGUAAUCGUAGAUCAGAAUGUUACGGUGAAUAC